AACACAAUGAUGUUUUAUUUAAUUUAACUAUGUAUGCUUUUUAGCUUGCACGUCGUUUUAAAACGCAAUGCAACGGCCAAAGACGCCUUUUGAUGAUGCUUUUGUUUACACCAGCACUUAAACGACAGCAAUAAUGCUUUAACUCCAGCGUUUUCAACAUACUUACAGGUGUUUUAAAGUCAUGUGCAUGAAGACAGAAUAAAGAACAAGCACACAGGUCUCUGAUGCCCAUGUCAUGUGGAUGAAACAGUCGGCACAUCAUGAAAACCAUGCAGAACAGUGAAAGGCACAAUCACCAUAGAUAUCAUAUACCGAUAAUUUUUAAUACUCUAUUUGUACUUUGUUACUAAGGUGAACAUCUCUUCUAAUAACAACAUGAGGAAAAAAUACAAGCAUAUUUAUUUGUGUUGUCUUUUCUCAUUUCAUGUUUUCAGUCAAGCCUCCCUUAAAUCACAAAUAACUAUCGCUUCCACCAGCCUCUCAUGAGGCCUAACGGACAUCAUUCUAGUCCCACAAAUGAGAUGAAUCAUAUUGAACACACACACACACACACACACACACACACACACAC